rnacentral:tRNA from 1 species
GGGCGCGUAGCUCAGCGGAAGAGCAUUCCCUUCACACGGGAGGGGUCACAGGUUCGAUCCCUGUCGCGCCCACCA